rnacentral:rRNA from 1 species
CAAUAGCGUAUAUUUAAGUUGUUGCAGUUAAAAAGCUCGUAGUUGGAUUUCGGAUGGGAUUUGCCGGUCCGUCGUUACGAUGUGCACUGGCAAGUCCUAUCUUGUUGUCGGGGACUAGCUCCUUGGAUUCACUUCCUGGGACUAGGAGCUGACGAGGUUACUUUGAGUAAAUUAGAGUGUUCAAAGCAAGCCUACGCUCUGAAUACAUUAGCAUGGAAUAACACGAUAGGACUCUGGCUUAUCUUGUUGGUCUGUGAGACCAGAGUAAUGAUUAAGAGGGACAGUCGGGGACAUUCGUAUUUCAUUGUCAGAGGUGAAAUUCUUGGAUUUAUGAAAGACGAACUUCUGCGAAAGCAUUUGUCAAGGAUGUUUUCAUUAA